UACGAAGGGGGCUAGCGUUGUUCGGAAUCACUGGGCGUAAAGGGCGCGUAGGCGGCCGAUCAAGUCGGGGGUGAAAGCCUGUGGCUCAACCACAGAAUUGCCUUCGAUACUGUUUGGCUUGAGACCGGAAGAGGUUAGUGGAACUGCGAGUGUAGAGGUGAAAUUCGUAGAUAUUCGCAAGAACACCGGUGGCGAAGGCGGCCUUCUGGACAGUGACUGACGCUGAGACGCGAAAGCGUGGGGAGCA
rnacentral:rRNA from 1 species